CGCGAAGAACCUUACCAAGGCUUGACAUAUACGAGAACGGGCCAGAAAUGGUCAACUCUUUGGGCACUCGUAAACAGGCGGUGCAUGGUUGUCGUCAGCUCGUGUCGUGAGAUGUUGGGUUAAGUCCCGCAACGAGCGCAACCCUCGUUCUAUGUUGCCAGCACGUAAUGGUGGGAACUCAUGGGAUACUGCCGGGGUCAACCCGGAGGAAGGUGGGGAUGACGUCAAAUCAUCAUGCCCCUUAUGUCUUGGGCUUCACGCAUGCUACAAUGGCCGGUACAAUGGGCUGCAAUACCGUGAGGUGGAGCGAAUCCCAAAAAGCCGGUCCCAGUUCGGAUUGAGGUCUGCAACUCGACCUCAUGAAGUCGGAGUCGCUAGUAAUCGCAGAUCAGCAACGCUGCGGUGAAUACGUUCCCGGGCCUUGUACACACCG
rnacentral:rRNA from 1 species